rnacentral:tRNA from 1 species
UCAGUGGUGGUUCAGUGGUAGAAUUCUCACCUUCCAUGCGGGAGACCUGGGUUUGAAUCCCAGCCAAUGCA